rnacentral:lncRNA from 1 species
GCCCGUGACCACGCCCUCUGCCAUCCGGUUCCUUGGCGGGAGCCAGCUGAGGGUGGACUGGAACCCUGGGCUGAAACAGAUCCCUCAGUGCUGCAGCCAGUGACGGGCGCGGUGACGGAGACAGCUCCCAUGCAGCCCCCAUGCAGGAGGCCCAGCCGGGAGCCGCCUCUCUGCAGACAGAAGACCCCCACCCUGGGUGCAAAGCCACGCCCGGUGCUACACGGGUGGCUCCACCUCUUCCUGCAAAGGGCGCCCGGAAGGAGGAUUGGGAAGCGCCCGGGAAGGGAGAGGCCAGGCGGGCAGCUGUAGUCCGGGCAGGCCCGGAGUGGCAUCGUGCGGAGGGCGGAGCACAGCCUCCCUCAGAGGCAAAGGCUGCGUCCCUGAGCGCCUGGCACGGCCCUGUGACCUGGGAGCGCCCCGGACUGCGGGACUUUGAUCACCUUGGUUUUGUCUUCUUUUAAUGAAGCAAUUCUAGUUGUAAAAUGGUGUUAUGGUUUCAGUUCUCAAUUUUUAGCCAGGGUUUGUUUUUUCUUUAAAACCCUCUCAAGCAACGUUUUAAUGACGGCGUCUUACAGAGUUGAAAUAUAAAAGGGUUUAGCCUCGAUGCCGGCAGAUGCAAGUACCUGUGGUCGUGGAAGGGAGGCGAGCGACACCGGACCCAGGAGAAACCGCUUCUUGCUCACACUCGCGUUUCACAGAGUGCACACCGCAAGGGCGCGUGGCGAUCCAGCUGUGGAACAGCAGCAGGAUACGGAAGAGUGAGACUGGGAAUUGAACCUCGGGCGUUUCGGGGAGGCCUCGAGUCUGCCCUCUGGUGUUUUGCUCUUGACGCUGGGUCGAUUUGGGCCCCUCUCGAGUGCGGCCUCCUGGGAGGGAGCUACGGGACAGGCGGCGGGACUGGGGAGCGAGCGGAGGCGGCAGACACAGGCGCUGGAGCUCGGCCACCAGGUCGGGGUCACGUUUACCCUCCCCGCCCGUCCGCCCUUCCCGAGUCCACCAAGCCACCUCCCGGCUGCCCCCGCCUCUUUAUUUUGCUCUUCAAAUUAUUUGUAGUCUGUGUCUGUCCACUAAGAGGUCCAGGCAGCACUUCCCCUUCUCUGGCUUAUUUCCGAGCUGGCGGGGCGGACUGUCUCGCGGAGGAAAAUGGGCCUCUGGUCUUUGGGGCUGCAGACCCAGGCUGUCCCGAUGUCCAGGGUGCGUCCGGGGGGGGAGCAGGCAGGGCCGAGGGGCCGCCCGGCCCCGGCCUUCCUCAGCGUGGAGGCCGGAACAGGGCCGUUCAUGCCAUGCCUUGGUCGACUGAGACAUGGAACUUGGGUCUCUCUCCAGAGGCACAGCAAGCAUCGGCUUAGAACUUCCCCACAAGCAGUCUACAGACCCGGUCACUGCAGCGUGGAUACCAGAAGCCCUUGGUAAAGAUGAUUUAAGCUGGCCGGGCGUGUUGGCGCACGCCUGUAAUCUCAGCACUUGGGGAGGCUGAAGCAGGAAGAUCACAAGUUCAAGCCCAGCCCGGGCAAUUUAGUGUGAGAUCCUGGAUCAAAAUUAAAACCAGGCUGAGAUAUAGCUCAGUGGCACCGUGCCUGCCUGGAAAACGUCCUGAGUUUGAUCCCCGGUACCACCAAAACAAACAAACAAACUACCCCCCACCCCCAACCCUGAAUGGAUCUCGGCCUGAAAGCCCUGAGUUCACUCCCCAGUAGAGCAGAGCAAUGAGCUGGGUGUGGUGGCACAUACACAUCUGUAAGACCACUAACCUGGAGGGCUGAGGCAGGAAGAUCGGAAGUUCAAGCCCAGAGUGAUCGAUUUAGGGACCUAGUGAGACCCUGUCAAAAAGAAAAAAAAAAUGGAGAGAAUAAUUUGGCCUGGCCAGUAGAUGGCGCCUGAGGCUUAUGAUAAUUUUCAAAACAGGGUUAGAAAUACUUUUGUUACAGCUAAUGAUUGUAAUUUAGCAUAGUAACAACAGCAAUGGCAGAGACCACCAGUUCCUUUCAAGAUGUUUGGCUCAAAAAUAAACAAAUGGAAGAGGGGGUCAGCUCUUAGAACAGCGAGCAGGAAACGCAAGUUGACUUAAAUGCAGAGAAAGAGGGUGACCCAUCAGGAGGUGACGGGAGCAGAAGGGAGGGCAACGAGGAAUCGUUGGAGCAGAGCAGCAAAAAGUCAAAUCAAAUCAAAUCAAAUCAGUCUCUCCAAAGGAUCGGGGACAGGGACAGGAGUGAGUUAGAGAGGGCCAGGGAGUAAAAGUCAAGUCCUUUUUCAGUUCUUACAGCUGCAACCGAAAUGUGAACCAGACACCAUGGGGCUCCGCAGAGAAGGUGGCAGGGAAAGGUCCAGGAAGCAGAUGCAAGGGCUGGAGGUGUGCACAGAUGCAGCCACUGUAGGGCAUGGAGGCAGGGUGGGCUGGUCCUAGAGGUCAGGGAGGACACAGGGCCAGUCCCAGCUGUAGGAGCCAGUGUGCAGAUGGGGACAGCUCUAAAGGAGAGGAAUCCGUAGCCUCAACACAGAGGGUGGAAUCAGCUUCUUCCUGCAUGGCUGAAGGCGCGUGGAUGAGGAAGUAGAUUCCCGGGCCUGCGCUCCUGAUGAAAGGACCCAGAGGAGGCAGGAGGCACAGAGGGCUCAGGGCCCCUAGCAGAGCUGCCCUGGAGGUUCUGUAACCGGAUACAGGGUAGGUUUUUUAAACCAUGAUCUUAAAAAAGGAAAUCUUGCCUCUUGGGCCCCUCCGACCACCCUUUGAGUUUCCGUGUGGUCAUCAGCCUGUGGGUGCCCUGAGGAAGGACCCUGCCAUGGGUUACUUGUGUGGUACCUUCGCUCCUUAGUGUCCCAGCGUCUGAGCAGCCUGUUCAGGCUCCCUUUGGCCUCGCUCAGCUGGAACCUCAGAGCCUGCACCGUCUCCGGAGAGGCCUCAAGCCAAGGGCUGUCUCCCGCUGUUGCAUCCCUGGUCAUUCAUCUACUUGGGGCUGAUUUAUAACACUGUGCAGCGGAGUAACCUGGAGGAAUACAGACUAGAGGCUGGUGCCUGACGUUGGGAAUGGAGAGAGAUGGAUCGAACAGGGUGCAGGAGAGGUCUGGGGUGAUGUCCUCAACGGCUCUCAUCUGGAUGAUUUGUUGUAUAUCUCUGUCAAAACACAUUAAAUCAUAUGCUUAAAUCUGUGCAGCUAUUACAUGCAGAUAGUAAGGUUGUAGGGGAAUAGAAUUGCUGUAAUGUACAGUUGCAACAAAAUUGGAACAUUGAACUAACUUUCAAAUGGUGCCAUAUGUGAUAGAAAACAAGGUACUACAGCCGGUCGGAUCUGGAGUGAGCCUGGAGGUGUUGGAGGCUUUGCCCCCACUGGCACUGCUGGGAGGUGUGUGACCUUUAGGAGGCGGAGCCUGGGGGACGUCUUCCGGUGCUGAGGAGUACCCUGGAUGGCUCCCUUCCUUUAUUCUCUUUUCACUGUCUGGUCAGGAAGUGAGCAGCUUCAGCUCUGCCGUCCACUCCCCACCGUGGUGUGCUGCUUCCGUCACAGGCCCCCAAAGCAGCAGGUCCAACUGACCAAGGACUGAACUCUCCAAAACUGAGAGCCGAAGCCAAACCUUCUUAUUUUAAGUUAUUCAU